UCCAAUGUUUCCCCCCAUCUCAUUUUCACGUAUUUUAUGGCUCCAACAUUUCCCCCCAUCUCAUUUUCACCAAAACCCCAAAUUAAAAAGAGCAUAAUUUCCCCUUUUUUUUUUCUUCCCCAAAUCAAAACUUAAAACUAUUUUUUCUCUUCUUUCGCAUACCGCCGACAAUCCACUCCUUUAGCGUUUGAUUCCAGUGUCCCAGUUUCCCCAAUUUAUUUAAGGUUUCAGAUCUUGUUCAUUUCUCGGUGAUAUGCAUAGGGGGUCGUUGUGCCAAGAUAAGUACAAGGGAGAUUCUAUAGUUCAGAUGAUUUUCGAUGAUUCUUUGUCCAUUAAUGGCCACACUUUCACCUUUGAUUUCGUUGUUGAUGUCGAAACUAGUCAGGUUCUGUUUGCUGUUUUGGUGGGUGCUGCCUUCUGUUAGGGGCGGCUGCUGCUGUGUGCACCUGCUGUCAGCUGGUGUUUGCUGCUGCCAGCAGCUUCUGUGGUGCGGUUCAGCACGUGUUGGUGUGGUUGGGGGCUUGGUUUGGUGCGGUGUUAUGCAUAGGGGGUCAUUGUUCUUGUCUGGCUGCCUUUCCGGAUAGUUUUGGGUCUUUGUAUACCUUUGCAUCAGUCACUUGUUUUAGGAGGCUGAGUUUUUCUUUUUGUUUGGCUCUUUUGGGUGUUUGUUUUGGUGUGGUUUGGGUCAGGUGUUCCGCCUAUAUACGACACCCUUGUUUGUGUUGAUUUGUUUCGUUUCGCUUGCACGGUUGGUUAUUGUGCAGCUUGCACCCUUCCGUUGCUUAAUAAAUUUUUCAGAUUCAAAUAAAAAAAAAAGUUUGAUUAAUUUAAA